rnacentral:lncRNA from 1 species
ACUGUGCCCGCUGUGGAAAGCCCUGCAUUAAUGCAGGGACAGUAAAACAGUGCAGUGGGGCAUGAUAGAAAACCGUGUCUCAAUUUCAGCUGGAUAUAUGAUGAAACACACUGGAGAUCAGCGAGGAAGGGAUGUAUGAUUUAAGAAAGGGUUCUAGGAAAAUUGUUCAUAUUGAAGGAAACUAGGACAUAUCCUACUUCACACCACAAGCAAAAUUUAAUUUAAGGAGAACAUUCUAAAGGAUUGGUCAAGUUGCUGGGAAUGCUGAGAUCGUUGUGUGUGAAAGGCUGCGCAUUUACCUGUGGGUUGUUCCUAUUCUAGCCUCCAUCAGGUACACGGAUGAGAGUUCCAGACCGAUAAAUCCAAUGGCCUGCUGGACAACUUCAUUGCGUGUUCAACUCAACACAUCAAAAAGAACAUAGCAACUAGUAAUAACUGGUAUUCUCUACUUCGGCGAAUACAUUAUCAUUUAUGGUAGUCCCAGUUGCCCGAGUAAGAAAACAAAAUCAUCCUCUUCCUCCACAAAGCUGGUAUCCAAUCAAUCUUCACGCACUGUUGAUUCUGUCUCCUUAUUGCCUCUUAAAACAGUCUUCUUAUUUUUAGCUGAACUGCUACUAUUUCAGGGUUUUAUCAUUUUUCCCCUUUAUUUCUGCACCAACUACUUUUUUCCACUGCAAAUUUGCCUUCUUUCAAAAAUUUUUAACACAAUAAAACAGAUCUAAUUCCCUUAACAAUUGUGAAACUUUCUUCUGAGGAAGAAAUACUCUUUAUGAGAAUAUGCCUCAAUAUGCCUGCUAGGAGGCAGCUGACUUACCCCAGGACAGACAUAUCUAC